AUACAACACCCCAUUGUGUCAGUUCAACUCAACAUUGUAACUUAAUCAAGGUUAUACAACACCCCAUUGUGUCAGUUCAACUCAACAUUGUAACUCAAUCAAGGGUCGUAUACCAUCCUUACCUAGGAUUAUAUACAACCCUAUAACUAAUUAUCAGUCCUAAAUAAGAAGACCAUUAUUAAAGAGAAAAAUUUCACGAUAUAAGCAGAAUCCAUAGUACUCUUCAUAAAAACAAAAAAACAAAGAAGAAGAAGAAGAAGACUCCAUAUAUAUAUAUAUCCAAGAACAUAAUAAACCCUAAAAUAUAAUCGUUAUCAUCGUGACACAAUAUCCAAGGAAACAUUUUCAAUAAGGAUUAAAGGUGAAAAAGAAGAAGAAGUAAAAGGCUCUUGUGUUGUAGAUACAUAAAUGUAGAUAUAUAAAAAAAGAAGAAAAGAAAAAACAUUUACAAAUUGAUGUACCUACUAAACAUAUAUAUAUGUAUGUAUGUAUACACACACACAGAGAAGACUAAACUCUUUCUGUUUAUGUAAGUGUGAUAAGAAGAAGGAGAAUGAGAGAAGAGAAUUGGUUGUUGUUAUCGUAAAAGAUUGAACACUUGCGAAUAAGGUGUAGUACGUCAAGGUGACUAAAGAGGCCUCGUUACCAUAAUCGUCGAUGCAGAAGGGCUCGAGCCAGGUGUAUUCUUAAAUCUGGCAAGGCAACACCUAAAGACGGUCAUCAUCGGUUUACAGUAUAAUAAGAUCACAACGUGGCAAACGAGCCGCUCAUGACCCUCGACGAGGUUGUGUUCCUCGAUAUACUUACGUUAACGUAUCCUUUCUUCCUUCUUCAUUGCUAAGGUGUGAGAGAGGAAAGGAGAGGAAAAGAAGGAAGAAGAAGAAGAAGAAGAAAAGAUUGAGAAGAAAUUAUCGACGGUUCAAAGAUGAUUCUCCACUCUUGUACGAUCAACAACGCCUACCUCUUCGUCGUUCGUUAUAAUUAAAUAAGAAGAUGAUGAAAAAGAAGAA